rnacentral:rRNA from 1 species
AUUGAACGCUGGCGGCAGGCCUAACACAUGCAAGUCGAACGGUAACAGGGAUCAGCUUGCUGAUUCGCUGACGAGUGGCGGACGGGUGAGUAAUGUCUGGGAAACUGCCUGAUGGAGGGGGAUAACUACUGGAAACGGUAGCUAAUACCGCAUAACGUCGCAAGACCAAAGAGGGGGACCUUCGGGCCUCUUGCCAUCGGAUGUGCCCAGAUGGGAUUAGCUAGUAGGUGGGGUAACGGCUCACCUAGGCGACGAUCCCUAGCUGGUCUGAGAGGAUGACCAGCCACACUGGAACUGAGACACGGUCCAGACUCCUACGGGAGGCAGCAGUGGGGAAUAUUGCACAAUGGGCGCAAGCCUGAUGCAGCCAUGCCGCGUGUAUGAAGAAGGCCUUCGGGUUGUAAAGUACUUUCAGCGGGGAGGAAGGGAGUAAAGUUAAUACCUUUGCUCAUUGACGUUACCCGCAGAAGAAGCACCAGCUAACUCCGUG